CAGAAGUUCAGAAAGUUGCCCAAGGUGAUCAGCUAGCAACAAAUAGUGCUGGGAUCAAGUCUGGGGGUCUGAGCCGAUCCCUCGUGUGUUUUGUAGGUGAAGGCUGGUGGGACCGUGGAGCGGGCACAUGAGCCGAAGAUUCAUGCAAUAGACACGCCUGCUGUUCCUUGCUGCCUCAUUAGCAUGUGUUCUUCUUGAUGCCCCAUGAGCAGAGAGUUCCAGGGAACCCAUGACACAUGGAGUGUGACUCGAAAAUGGCAUCAAAUAGCAAAUAAAAAACAUCAUAACAAGAUGAGAGAGACUGGAAGAAAGAAGAAAGCUCAGCGUUUUAGUUACUUUGAUGACACCUUUUUCCUGCUUUUUGAAGAAGAGUUCCCACAUUUUCAUUUUGAACAAAGAGCCCCACAAUUACGAGAACAAUCUGACAGAGGGCAUGGCGACUGCGGAUAGGAGGCCACCCAGAUCCCAGAGUUAUUCAGAGGUGGAGAAGCCGAUAAACCACACGAAGCCACUCCAUGUAUCCAUAGCCUCUAAGGGAGCCCAGCAAUCUAUUACUUGGAGGCCACAGAAGAGAAGUUGGAAUGAAAAUUAGGACUGAGGGACUUUUCCCCAAGCAAACUGAGUUGAAAGCAUUGCCGCAGGUGAGGAGAAAAGCCCGGUCUCAAUGGAGGCUGCCCUCCAGGGGAGGGACAGGAAGAAAUGCAUCAAUCCGAGA
rnacentral:lncRNA from 13 species